GAGUUAUUUCGAGAAAAGCGGGGAUUGCGCUUUGUACUUUUUCGGAAGUGCAUUGCUGUGCGAACCGCGUUAAUCGAAACGGCUUGAACCGGGCAAAAGUCGUAACAAGGUUUCCGUAGGUGAACCUGCGGAAGGAUCAUUA
rnacentral:rRNA from 1 species